UCUACCACUGAACCAUAAAGCAGGGUGUUUAUGUGUUCCUGAUGGUAGCCAAUUUUGCAUCUGCGACAUUGCGUAUUAGGAAGAGGUACACCUCCUCGCCAUUCAUAUUUUCCUGAUACGAGAUUGAGAAGAAUUUAAGCCAAAGAAAGAUUCGAUAGUCUUCCCGCGAAAAUGACCAUAACUGUGUGAGAAACUGAAGAUGCGAUGGUCUCUCAAUGUCAGUGACCACAAAGACACAUUACAGCCCGGAAGGAAGAGGCUGUCUUGAAAGAUGUGUCACUGCAGCAUUGUGUUGCGACGAUGCCAGAGCGGGACGAGGUCAAGCCGAGGCGUACGUCUUGGGCCCUUUUGUCUUGAGGAAACGAUGACGGACGACCCGCCGGUAAUCGAGAAUCUCAAAUCGGCGACCGGUGGGUUUGCAGGUCACGGUACGAGACGUCACGAAGUCGUUUCGAGAGCCGCCUUCCGGGUUGGAUACGAGACGUAAUCCUGGAGGAGAACCGAUCCGGAGUGUUCGUAGGAUCCGUUAGACCGAGCCGAGUUUCCAAGACAUUAAGGCUGAAGACCGCCAUUCGCGACGAGUCCUGAAAAAACCGCCUGUGAUCCUUGAGCGAUGAGGAUUGCUCCAUGUGGAAGAUGACAAGGGUGCUGCGUCGCUCCCCAAUGAUAUCGUUCCCGCUACACGGAGUCAGAGGACUGGUGUAUAUACGGACACCGAGAAGGUCGACGCCUUUGCAACGUUUUCUCCCAACUACGUUAAAGCGGACCUGGACUUAAUCGGCGCCGUCAACCGAAGGGCCAGGAGAGCGAUGCGUCUUAAGUUUCCGACGCUAUCAAAAAUCCCUCAACACGAAACAGUUAUAGUCCACGACGUUCCCACAGAACUACCGCUCGAUCAGCCUGCUGUCGACGAUCGCCAAAGUAGCGGAAGCAGUGAUCUUAAGGAGGCUGCGGGACCAAACGACGCGGCAUUCAAGACGAGCAAUUCGGAUUCCGGAAGGGCCACUCGACGGUGCACCAAGUGCUAAGAACACGCGACAGAAGGUUUCAGCCGCGAACACAAAGCAAAGGUGGGAGUACCUCAGGGAUCCCUGCUCUCGCCGUUGCUGUUCCCUCUGUGCGUUCGGGCCGAAGACGCGGGUCACCACCUUGGCUCUCUAUGCGGACGAGAUACACCAGAUGGAGGAUCGCCGUCAACACCGAGAAGAGCUCGGCCGUCCUUUUCACGAAAAAUGCCAUUCCGUGGAGGACCGAAGCGAAAUUUCUACCAUUCGCACCGGAGAUUCCGAAGAAAAUUGUGCGCCGUUCUAACCUAUCACAGCUUUUCACCAUCAGUGGCACAACCCAUAAAAAAACAAUAAAUAGAGAGCCUAUGACAUUCCUAUAUAGAAAGUACUAGCGAUGGUGAAAUACACCAUCUUCUUACUACCUAAAUCAAAGGUAAACAAGGCGGUGGAAAGCACGGAGCAGGAAGAGCAAGGAAGUGAAGUAUUUGUAGGUGUAGGAUUCUUACG